GCCCUUAGAGUUUGAUCCUGGCUCAGAACGAACGCUGGCGGCAGGCCUAACACAUGCAAGUCGAGCGAGGACUUCGGUCCUAGCGGCGGACGGGUGAGUAACGCGUGGGAACGUGCCCCUUGGUACGGAAUAGUCCCGGGAAACUGGGUUUAAUACCGUAUGAGCUCUUCGGAGGAAAGAUUUAUCGCCAAGGGAUCGGCCCGCGUUGGAUUAGCUAGUUGGUGAGGUAAAGGCUCACCAAGGCGACGAUGGGUAGCCGGUCUGAGAGGAUGGUCGGCCACACUGGAACUGAGACACGGUCCAGACUCCUACGGGAGGCAGCAGUGGGGAAUUUUGCGCAAUGGGGGCAACCUUGACGCAGCGACGCCGCGUGAGCGAAGAAGGCCUUCGGGUUGUAAAGCUCUGUCUGGGGGGAAGAUAGUGACGGUACCCCCGGAGGAAGCCCCGGCUAACUACGUGCCAGCAGCCGCGGUAAGACGUAGGGGGCGAGCGUUGUCCGGAAUUACUGGGCGUAAAGGGCGUGUAGGCGGCCUGCCAAGUCAGCUGUGAAAUUCCUCGGCUUAACCGGGGCCCUGCGGUUGAACUGGUAGGCUUGAGUGCAGAGAGGAGGGUGGAUUCCCAGUGUAGCGGUGAAUGCGUAA
rnacentral:rRNA from 1 species